rnacentral:ncRNA from 2 species
UAACCGCAUCAGGUCUCCAAGGUGAA